rnacentral:rRNA from 1 species
UACGAAGGGGGCUAGCGUUGUUCGGAAUUACUGGGCGUAAAGCGCACGCAGGCGGAUUGAUAAGUCGGGGGUGAAAUCCCGGGGCUCAACCUCGGAAUUGCCUUCGAUACUGUUAGUCUUGAGUCCGGGAGAGGUGAGUGGAAUUCCUAGUGUAGAGGUGAAAUUCGUAGAUAUUAGGAAGAACACCAGUGGCGAAGGCGGCUCACUGGCCCGGUACUGACGCUCAUGUGCGAAAACGUGGGGAGCAAACAGG